rnacentral:rRNA from 1 species
AGGACUAACGCUGGCGGCGUGCCCAACACAUGCAAGUCGAGCGGGGUAGCAAUACCCAGCGGCAGACGGGUGAGUAACGCGUGGUCAACCUUCCGUUGAAUGGGGGAUAACUAGCCGAAAGGUUAGCUAAUACCGCAUACGAUCUUUUGAAGGCAUCUUUAAAAGAUGAAAGGAGCAAUUCGUUCAACGACGGGACCGCGUCCCAUUAGCUAGAUGGUGGGGUAAUGGCCUACCAUGGCAACGAUGGGUAGCUGGUUUGAGAGAGCGACCAGCCACACUGGGACUGAGAAACGGCCCAGACUCCUACGGGAGGCAGCAGUGAGGAAUUUUCCGCAAUGGGCGAAAGCCUGACGGAGCGACGCCGCGUGUGGGAGAAGGCCUUCGGGUCGUAAACCACUGUCGAAGGGGACGAUAAUGACGGUACCCUUGGAGGAAGCCCCGGCUAACCUACGCGCCAGCAGCCGC